rnacentral:rRNA from 1 species
GUUUGAUCAUGGCUCAGAACGUACGCUGGCGGCACGCCUAACACAUGCAAGUCGAACGAAGUAGCAAUACUUAGUGGCAGACGGGUGAGUAACAUGUAGGUAUCUGCCCUUUGGCCUGGAAUAACACGAGGAAACUUGUGCUAAUACCGGAUAAGUCUUUACGGAGAAAGCUUUAUGCACCAUUGGAUGAGCCUGCACUUGAUUAGUUUGUUGGUGGGGUAAUGGCCUACCAAGACUGUGAUCAAUAGCUGAUUUGAGAGGAUGAUCAGCCACAUUGGGACUGAGACACGGCCCAAACUCCUACGGGAGGCAGCAGUGGGGAAUCUUGCACAAUGGAGGAAACUCUGAUGCAGCGAUGCCGCGUGAGUGAAGAAGGCCCUUGGGUUGUAAAGCUCUUUCGUCGGGGAAGAAAAUGACUGUACCCGAAUAAGAAGGUCCGGCUAACUUCGUGCCAGCAGCCGCGGUAAUACGAAGGGACCUAGCGUAGUUCGGAAUUACUGGGCUUAAAGAGUUCGUAGGUGGUUGAAAAAGUUAGUGGUGAAAUCCCAGAGCUUAACUCUGGAACUGCCAUUAAAACUUUUCAGCUAGAGUAUGAUAGAGGAAAGCAGAAUUUCUAGUGUAGAGGUGAAAUUCGUAGAUAUUAGAAAGAAUACCAAUUGCGAAGGCAGCUUUCUGGAUCAUUACUGACACUGAGGAACGAAAGCAUGGGUAGCGAAGAGGAUUAGAUACCCUCGUAGUCCAUGCCGUAAACGAUGUGUGUUAGACGUUGGAAAUUUAUUUUCAGUGUCGCAGGGAAACCGAUAAACACACCGCCUGGGGAGUACGACCGCAAGGUUAAAACUCAAAUGAAUUGACGGGGACCCGCACAAGUAGUGGAGCAUGUGGUUUAAUUCGAAGAUACGCGCAGAACCUUACCAACACUUGACAUGUUCGUCGCGACUCUAAGAGAUUAGAGUUUUCGGUUCGGCCGGACGAAACACAGGUGCUGCAUGGCUGUCGUCAGCUCGUGUCGUGAGAUGUUGGGUUAAGUCCCGCAACGAGCGCAACCCUCACUUUUAGUUGCCAUCAUUAAGUUGGGCACUCUGAAAGAACUGCCAGUGAUAAGCUGGAGGAAGGUGGGGAUGACGUCAAGUCCUCAUGGCCCUUACGUGUUGGGCUACACACGUGCUACAAUGGUAUCUACAACAGGAAGCAAGACUGCGAAGUUAAGCAAAUCCCUAAAAGAUACCUCAGUUCGGAUUGCACUCUGCAACUCGAGUGCAUGAAGCUGGAAUUACUAGUAAUCGUGGAUCAGCGUGCCACGGUGAAUGCGUUCCCGGGUCUUGUACACACCGCCCGUCACACCAUGGGAGUUGGUUCUACCUUAAGGCAAGGUUUCAAACCCUUGACCACGGUAUAGUCAGCGACUGGGGUGAAGUC